rnacentral:tRNA from 1 species
AAUAAAGUGCCUGAUAAAAGGAUUAUUUUGAUAGAAUAAAUCAUGUGGUUUCAAUCACCUUUAUUA